rnacentral:rRNA from 1 species
UGAAUAAUCUGCCCUCGAGAUCGGGAUAACAUGGUGAAAACUAUGCUAAUACCGGAUAAGACCACAUUUCAAAAGAAAUGCGGGAAAAGAAGUCUCAACCUUCACUCGAGGAUGAGUUCGCGCAACAUUAGCUUGUUGGUGAGAUAAAAGCUCACCAAGGCUACGAUGUUUAGCCGGCCUGAGAGGGUGAUCGGCCACACUGGAACUGAGACACGGUCCAGACUCCUACGGGAGGCAGCAGUGGGGAAUAUUGCGCAAUGGGCGAAAGCCUGACGCAGCAACGCCGUGUGAGCGAUGAAGGCUUUAGGGUUGUAAAGCUCUGUCAAAUGGGAAGAAUUAUGACGGUACCAUUAGAGGAAGCCCCGGCUAACUCCGUGCCAGCAGCCGCGGUAAUACGGGGGGGGCAAGCGUUGUUCGGAAUUAUUGGGCGUAAAGCGUAUGUAGGCGGCAAAGUAAGUCAGGCGUGCAAGCCCGUGGCUCAACCACGGAAUUGCGUUUGAAACUGCUUAGCUUGAGUACAGGAGAGGAAAGCGGAAUUCCCAGUGUAGCGGUGAAAUGCAUUGAUAUUGGGAAGAACAUCUGUGGCGAAGGCGGCUUUCUGGUCUGUUACUGACGCUGAGAUACGAAAGCCAGGGGAGCAAAGGGGAUUAGAUACCCCCGUAGUCCUGGCUGUAAACGAUGGGCA